UCAGGUGUUCUAGAACCCUGAUAAUCCUUCAGGUAUUCUAGAACCCUGAUAAUCCUUACUUCAGGUAUUCUAGAACCCUGAUAAUCCUUCAGGUAUUCUAGAACCCUGAUAAUCCUUCAGGUAUUCUAGAACCCUGAUAAUCCUUCAGGUAUUCUAGAACCCUGAUAAUCCUUACUUCAGGUAUUCUAAGAAUUCCGAAGACAUGUCGGCACUUUGUGGUCUGAUGCUGAUGCAAUAUCUCCUCACCAUUUCAAACCACCUCCGAUUUCCACCGCAACAACCUGAAAACUCCAAGCUCAAGGAAUGCACACUGCCCUGCUACACAGUACCACACAGUACUAAAUAGUAGUACACAGUACCACACAGUACUAAAUAGUAGUACACAGUACCACACAGUACUAAAUAGUACUACGCAGUACUACAUAGUAUUACUACACACAACAAUGCAUGGGGUGUCAGUGUGUGUGUGUGUCAACGAGCUAACUUGUUAUAAAAGUUGUUGGCUUGUGUCUCACAGUGGAACAGACAUGUUCUGUGUAAGUCUGACAGGUAAUUUACUGAAAUCAGGAGUUUAAAAAAUAUAUAUAUAUUUCCUAUGUAGAACUCAUAAGCAGCUAAUGGAAGAAGCACUGUGGUGUCUUUAUUUCACAUAAACAUUAAUGUUUGUGUAUCUAAAUCAGUCCUAACGAGACACUCACUUGUACCUUUCCUCAACUGGGCCUUCUGUUUGACAAACUGUUCACUUGAAUAUAUUUGUUUUUCUGAUUUACUCAACGUUUUUUUUUAUUAAGGAUCAAGUGCUUGUAUGACACGACACGAUAUAAUUGUUUGUUUUUGCUCUGAUUUUUUUCUGAACUAUGUACUAUUCAUAUACAUUAUGUACCUCAAACAAACUGAUAAAAAAAAAUGGACUUAUAAUCGAUUGACAAAUACCUACCUCCAGUCUUGAAAAGGAAUUGAUUUUUGCCGGGUUUCUUUCAAUAUCAGUGUGAGUUUUGAUAAUGUAUGGUGAAAUCUUAUCAAUAUUAUGGACUGCAAAAGAUCCCUUACUCAGAAGUAUUUUUUUUUUGUAACUUGUUUUUUAAAACUUCUGAACCAAGUAAAUGUUGACUUCACCCUGCGGAAGAAAUAGCCUUCAAAAAAAAAAAAAUGUAUCUUGAAGAUUUUCAGGUUUUUUAAAAAAUAUAUGUUUGGGUUUUGUAUAUUGUAUUCAUGGAUUUUGUUGUUUUUAAUUAGAUAUUGUAGAUAUUGAUAUACUUGAUUAGCUAUUUUGUGUACUUUUACGACACACGUGAUUUUAUUUUUCUUGUUGUUAUGGUUCAACCAGAUGUAUAUGAAAAUGCUUCUUUAAAUAGUGAUGGAUUACAACUUUUAAAUGUUAACAUGGUAUAUUCUCAUACGGGCCUGAGGUAGGGAGCCUCAGAGAGUUAGUCAAACAACCCGACAUGCCCUUUCCACUCACACAAGCCUGAGGUAGGGAGCCUCAGAGAGUUAGUCAAACAACCCAACAUGCCCUUUCCACUCACACAAGCCUGGGUAGGGAGCCUCAGAGAGUUAGUCAAACAACCCAACAUGCCCUUUCCACUCACACAGGUCUGCAAGCUGCAAUUCAAACUUGACAUCAGUCAGUUUUAAGCUGCUUUCAUGUGCUCUCUGAAUUAUAUUGAUACUUCCGAGUUACUCAGUAUGAUACUUCCAAGUUACUCAGUCAAAUACUUCUGAGUUUCUCAGUCAAAUACUUCUGAGUUUCUCAGUCGGAUACUUCUGAGUUUCUCAGUCGGAUACUGCCAAGUUUCUCAGUCGGAUACUGCCAAGUUUCUCAGUCGGAUACUGCCAAGUUUCUCAGUUGAAUACUUCCGAGUUUCUCAGUCGGAGACUUCCGAGUUUCUCAGUUGGAUACUUGCGAGUUUCUCAGUUUGAGACUUCUGAGUUUCUGUCGAAUACUUCUGAGUUUCUCAGUCGAAUACUUCCGAGUUUCUCAGUUGGAGACUUCCAAGUUUCUCAGUCGAAUACUUCCAAGUUUCUCAGUCGGAGACUUCCAAGUUUCUCAGUUGAAUACUGCCAAGUUUCUAAGUCGAAUACUUCCAAGUUUCUCAGUCUAAUACUUCCAAGUUUCUCAGUCGGAGACUUCCAAGUUUCUCAGUUGAGACUUCCAAGUUUCUCAGUUGAAUACUGCCAAGUUUCUCAGUUGAAUACUGCCAAGUUUCUCAGUCGAAUACUUCCGAGUUUCUCAGUCGGAUACUUCCAAGUUUCUCAGUUGAAUACUGCCACGUUUCUCAGUCGGAGACUUCCAAGUUUCUCAGUUGAAUACUUCCAGUUUCUCAGUCGGACACUUCCAAGUUUCUCAGUUGAAUACUUCCAAGUUUCUCAGUUGAAUACUGCCACGUUUCUCAGUCGGAGACUUCCAAGUUUCUCAGUUGAAUACUUCCGAGUUUCUCAGUCGGAGACUUCCAAGUUUCUCAGUUAAAUACUUCCAAGUUUCUCAGUCGGAUACUUCCAAGUUUCUCAGUUGAAUAAUUCAGAGUUUCUCAGUUGAAUACUGCCAAGUUUCUCAGUCGGAGACUGCCAAGUUUCUCAGUCGGAUACUUCUGAGUUUCUCAGUCAAAUACUUCCAAGUUUCUCAGUCGAAUACUUCCAAGUUUCUCAGUCAGAUGCAUACCCCACAGUUUCCUAUUUUCCGAGGAAGGCAGCAUUAUUUUCUUCACACACUAUUACUGUCCAGAAUGUUCCCUGAACUGUAUCAUUGAUGGAUGGGUUCAUCUUUGAUAACAACUCUCGAUAACUCUCAGGUACAUAACAAUCAAAACAGAGAACGUAGGUUGAUCAAGAACCAACCUUAUUGUUGAUGAGGUGAAGUCAUAGUGGGCCUAUGCUUUAUGUCGAUGCCGUUUGACAGCUGCCUUGGUUUUGAAACGGCUUCGUAGGGCCUACCUGUGUGAGUUGGUCGAUCACAUGUUGUAGCUUUGAAAAGCACGGCCUAGAAACAGAUAGACUUCACGGCUGAGAAGAACAAUGGCUUUGUCUAAAAACGUCACAAGCAGGUUAAAAAUCCUCCUCGCUUACUGCUUCCUUGUUGCCGUAAUUCCUCUCAAAGCUCAUUGGAGGUGUGGAUCUACGGUUCCUCCUCUCGGGAACUUCUCCUCCAAUGAGCUUUGAGAGGAAUUCAGGAAACGAGGACAGGUCAGGGGGUGAAGCAAGUCAUUGACGGCUAGUACUGUUUUGAGACUGUCGAUCAUCAGCAUGAAAAGCUAUAAGAGAUUUUCUUUUUAAACGUUUCAAAAAAAGGGCUAAACACUGUGGUGCUCAUAACUGACACUGAUUAUAUCAUAGGAGGUAAUGACGUUCCAAUGUUGGAGCUCCAUGAACAUUGGACUAUAUUUCAUAGAUAUAUAUAAUAAUAUAUAUAUAAAUAUAAUUAUUAUAUAUAUAUAAUUAUAUAUAUAAAUAUAUAUUCGAGUUCUGAAGUGUAAGAGUAUUCAAACAAAAAAACAAUUGAAACAAUGUUUUUUUUUGUUUUUUUUGGGAUGUUUUACCUCAUGUUGGUGUGAAUGUGUAACUAUGGAAACCACUGUUUUGUUGACGUGCUUUGAGCUCUUGGAGUCUUAAUGAAGAUGAUCCCCGUUCUAGAACAGUCCCAAUACACAUUACUACCUCCACACAAAAAAAGGGCCUACUGUUACCUCAUUUUCAAACUAAGCCUGCUCCCAAAUGGCACCCUAUUCCCUAUAUUAGUGCACUCCUUUUGACCAGGGAGUGCACUACUUUUGACCGGAUCCUUUACGGGACAAGUCCGCUAUAUAGAGACUAGGGUACAAUUUGUGACGCAAGCUUAAAUAUCUGCUUAGUAAAACUCAUGGUGACGAAAGAGAACAGGGAGAACAUCGUAACAUUUUAUAUAUAUAUAUAUAGUUUAUUUUUUUUGUUGGGGGAUAAAUUUUAUAAGACUGUUCCUUCUCUGCCUCUUAGUCACCACUAGGUAAGAAUGGACAUGUAUUUUUUUUAAAUUUUGUAUUUUUUUUUAAAAGAACAUUUUCUGACAUUAUGCAAUGUUCCGUAGUUAUAUUAAUCUGUGGAGAGGAGAGGCGGCGGUGCGGUGGGGGGGGGAUAAACAUAAUUUCUGUGUUUGACACCGUCUCCCUCAGUAUAGAACCUCAUGUCUUCGAUCCAACUUGCAUCGUCUCCUCUCUGUCCACCUAGUAUUUGCUGUCUUCAAUUACACAUCCAAAUUGCUUGUUUGAAUAUACAAGACAAAAACCCAAGUUAUCUUAAUAGAUAUUUACAGCCUUGUUUCAGCACAAUAAUAAAUAAAUAAAAACUAAAAUAUGGCUUCUGU